UACGUAGGGCGCAAGCGUUGUCCGGAAUUAUUGGGCGUAAAGAGCUCGUAGGCGGUCUGUUACGUCCGCUGUGAAAACCCAGGGCUUAACCCUGGGCUUGCAGUGGAUACGGGCAGACUAGAGGGAGGUAGGGGAGAAUGGAAUUCCCGGUGUAGCGGUGAAAUGCGCAGAUAUCGGGAGGAACACCGAUGGCGAAGGCGGGUCUCUGGGCCUGACCUGACGCUGAGGAGCGAAAGCGUGGGGAGCGAACAGG
rnacentral:rRNA from 1 species